UGCGCAGGCGGUUGAGUGUGUCAGAUGUGAAAUCCCGAGGCUUAACCUCGGAACUGCGUCUGAAACUACUCGACUAGAGUACUGGAGAGGGUAACGGAAUUCACGGUGUAGCAGUGAAAUGCGUAGAUAUCGUGAGGAACACCAGAGGCGAAGGCGGUUACCUGGACAGUUACUGACGCUCAGGCACGAAAGCAUGGGGAGCAAAAGGGAUUAGAUACCCCUGUAGUCCAUGCCCUAAACGGUGCACACUAGGUCUUAGCGGAUUCGACCCCACUAGGGCCCAAGCUAACGCGUUAAGUGUGCCGCCUGAGGACUACGGUCGCAAGACUAAA
rnacentral:rRNA from 1 species